GAGAGGUGCAAUAAACGCGUGUGACGUCAUAGGUGUGACGGCCGCUGUGAUGUGCCCAGAGCCUAGUUCUGUCGGCGGACAGCGCGGGCCUCUCCGCAGACACAAGUCAGAACGCGUCUACACUGCCGAGCCGCCCCCCGCCUUUCCCGGCGGGCCCAGAGGCCGGCUCAGCUGACUCGGCCUUUUGCGGGGCUGAAGACACCCAUGUAAAUGUUGGGGCUCAGGCGGGAGCUCGGGCUCUGAGACCCUCCCCGUUGGCGGGAGCACAAAUCUACUCGGCAAUUUGACAGCCCCGCAGUCGGCACGGGCCUGCGUCUGGUUGCUGUGUAGCCCCACCCUGCGAUUCGGCGCGGCAGGGCUCAUUUUGCUGUGUAGACGGCAGUAAGGCUGCAGCGAGCUGAGGGUGACUUGCACGAGCUAUGCCUGCGGUGCAAGGCUUGCUUGAGCAUUUGCGAGGUACGUGCCUUAUAUUUGAAGCCCCCCCCCCCCCCAUAACUGUAUCCCCUGCCCCCCGGCCGGUUCUGGGUCUGACUUCUUCCAGGCUUCACCAAAGCCGAUCUGAAAUGUUGAUGUCUUCUCCCAGGCCCCACCCAGUGUCAACAAGAAAUCACUAUGUCCGUGCCUGAGGGCAGUGACACGCAACACCCCCUUAACCUCUCGGAGCGCUUUGCCAAGCUGUCCUGGUCCCCCACUUUGGCUGGGCCAUGGGUGCAGAUAGCCAUCAUCAAGAAAGGGAAAUCAAACCUGGUCGACAGCUCCUUUGCUGGGCACAUCUCUGUGUCCAACAGAUGGUUCAUCGUGACAAACGCCAGCAAAGCCAUUGCAGGGAAUUUGAAGAUUGUGAAUGAGAUGAAUGAAAGCAAAUGUCUGGCUUCUAUCCAUCUGAAUGUAACAGAGCCUGCGCCAACCUCAGCUCCGGUCUCCCAGGUGGCCCUGGUCAGCAACUGGAUGGCAGCAGGGGAGCCCGGAUCUCAGUCCACCCAUAUUGUAGCGGUGGUGGUGGGGACAGUGGUGGCCUUUCUGGUGUUGGUGUUGGCACUGGGGCUAUGGCAGAGAAAUAAGAAAGCUCACUGCAGAGACUGGUUCCGCAGCUGUCUUGGCUUCCGUGCCAGAGCCGCCCCGUCCCAGCAGGCCGGCGACGCAAGCCCCGUGCAGGAAAUGCAGGAGCUGGCAAAGAUGACGCAGCCGGAGGAUGCCAGCGGUGGGGACCGGUCAGCCGUGAUGAGUGGGAAACUUCUCGGCAGCGCUGAAAUGAGAAACACUGCGGGACUGGAGAGUGGGGAGGGAUGAACCCCGUCCCUCAACAUCCACUCAAUUUGCAGCGGCAGUCCAAAAAGAGCCAAUAUUCAUAUAUUCAAUGUACUUGUUUGAUUCUAAGUAGCUGCAAUGAAGCAUUUGGUCAGUUUCUAGAGAAAUGACUAUUCUCAUGUGAAAGUAGAAUGAAUUAUAUUGUAAAAAUAGAAUGGAUUAAACAAAUGCUGUAUGUACCUUUAAGCAGAAAUAAGGAAUGUUGAAAUACAGGUGUCAGGAAAAGAAACAUUAAGGCAUAAACAAUGAGUCCUCUUAAGCUAAUCGUGGAACAUAAACUGGAGAUCUGUAAAAGUUAGUAAGGAAAUUGAAUAUGUAUGUCUAGCCUCAGGUAAACUUGAUAGUUCUGCUUUCUUUGUCCUCUUGUUAAGUUUGUGCCCUUUUUAUCUGUAUAAAAUAAGCUAGUGUGGGUCUUGCGUGGUGCUCACAUUAUCUGAGUGUAUUAGCAGAGCACUGUGUUAAUAAACAGAGUGGUCUAAUAAAUUGUGAGUCCUGA
rnacentral:lncRNA from 1 species